rnacentral:rRNA from 1 species
GGGGGGGGGGGGGGGGGGGGGGGGGGCGGGCGAGGGGGGGGGAACGGGUGGGUGAGCGGGUGCUGGCACGCACCGAGAAAGGGGUGAGUGGCGAACGGGGGAGGAACACGUGGGCAACCGGCCCAAAAGAGGGGGAUAACACGUGGAAACAGGUGCUAAUACCGCAGAACCAUAGUUACCGCAUGGUAACUAUGUAAAAGGUGGCUAUACUACCGCUUUUGGAUGGGCCCGCGGCGCAUUAGCUAGUUGGUAGGGUAAAGGCUUACCAAGGCAAUGAUGCGUAGCCGAAUUGAGAGGUUGAUCGGCCACAUUGGGACUGAGACACGGCCCAAACUCCUACGGGAGGCAGCAGUAGGGAAUCUUCCACAAUGGGCGAAAGCCUGAUGGAGCAACGCCGCGUGGGUGAAGAAGGUCUUCGGAUCGUAAAACCCUGUUGUUAGAGAAGAAAGUGCGUGAGAGUAACUGUUCACGUUUCGACGGUAUCUAACCAGAAAGCCACGGCUAACUACGUG